UACAGAGGUCUCAAGCGUUGUUCGGAUUCAUUGGGCGUAAAGGGUGCGUAGGUGGCGCCGUAAGUCGGGGUGUGAAAUUUCGGAGCUUAACUCCGAAACUGCAUUCGAUACUGCGGUGCUUGAGGACUGGAGAGGAGACUGGAAUUCAUGGUGUAGCAGUGAAAUGCGUAGAGAUCAUGAGGAAGACCAGUGGCGAAGGCGGGUCUCUGGACAUUUCCUGACGCUGAGGAGCGAAAGCGUGGGGAGCGAACAGG
rnacentral:rRNA from 1 species